rnacentral:rRNA from 1 species
UGAACGACUCUUGGCAGCGGAUAUCUCUGCUCUCGCAUCGAUGAAGAACGUAGCGAAAUGCGAUACUCGGUGUGAAUUGCAUAACCCGUGAAACAUCAAGUCUUUGAGCGCAAGCUGUGCUCGAAGCCAUUAGGCCGAGGGCACGUCUGCUUGAGCGUCACAC